CUUUCUAUAUCACUGUUACUGCUCCCACUGGAAGGCUAUUCCAGGUAUCUACUACCCUUUCUAUAUCACUGUUACUGCUCCCACUGGAAGGCUAUUCCAGGUAUCUACUACCCUUUCUGCAUCACUGUUACUGCUCCCACUGGAAGGCUAUUCCAGGUAUCUACUACCCUUUCUGCAUCACUGUUACUGCUCCCACUGGAGGGCUAUUCCAGGUAUCUACUACCCUUUCUGCAUCACUGUUACUGCUCCCACUGGAAGGCUAUUCCAGGUAUCUACUACCCUUUCUAUAUCACUGUUACUGCUCCCACUGGAAGGCUAUUCCAGGUAUCUACUACCCUUUCUAUAUCACUGUUACUGCUCCCACUGGAAGGCUAUUCCGGGUAUCUACUACCCUUUCUAUAUCACUGUUACUGCUCCCACUGGAAGGCUAUUCCAGG